rnacentral:rRNA from 1 species
UACGUAGGGUGCGAGCGUUGUUCGGAAUUACUGGGCGUAAAGGGCUCGUAGGUGGCCAACUAAGUCAGACGUGAAAUCCCUCGGCUUAACCGGGGAACUGCGUCUGAUACUGGAUGGCUUGAGUUCGGGAGAGGGAUGCGGAAUUCCAGGUGUAGCGGUGAAAUGCGUAGAUAUCUGGAGGAACACCGGUGGCGAAGGCGGCAUCCUGGACCGAUAUUGACGCUGAUGCGCGAAAGCCAGGGGAGCAAACGGG